AUGCUCAAUUUGCAGCAGAGAUACUAAAAUUGGAACAAUAAAUAGAAGAGUAGAAUGAACUCCAUGCAAGGAUGACAUGAAAAUUUGCAAUGUUUUCAGUAUUAAA